rnacentral:rRNA from 1 species
GACGAACCGUGCGAACGUUGUUCGGAAUCACUGGGCUUAAAGGGCGCGUAGGCGGCCUGCCAAGUCAGGGGUGAAAGCCCCCAGCUCAACUGGGGAAGUGCCUUUGAUACUGGCGGGCUCGAGCGAGGUAGGGGUCGUGGGAACUUCCGGUGGAGCGGUGAAAUGCGUUGAUAUCGGAAGGAACGCCGGUGGCGAAAGCGCACGACUGGACCUCUCCUGACGCUGACGGCGCGAAAGCCAGGGGAGCCAAGCGGG